UGCAAGUCGAGCGGUAACAGAAAGUAGCUUGCUACUUUGCUGACGAGCGGCGGACGGGUGAGUAAUGCUUGGGAACAUGCCUUGAGGUGGGGGACAACAGUUGGAAACGACUGCUAAUACCGCAUAAUGUCUACGGACCAAAGGGGGCUUCGGCUCUCGCCUUUAGAUUGGCCCAAGUGGGAUUAGCUAGUUGGUGAGGUAAUGGCUCACCAAGGCAACGAUCCCUAGCUGGUUUGAGAGGAUGAUCAGCCACACUGGAACUGAGACACGGUCCAGACUCCUACGGGAGGCAGCAGUGGGGAAUAUUGCACAAUGGGCGAAAGCCUGAUGCAGCCAUGCCGCGUGUGUGAAGAAGGCCUUCGGGUUGUAAAGCACUUUCAGUCAGGAGGAAAGGGUGUGAGUUAAUACCUCAUAUCUGUGACGUUACUGACAGAAGAAGCACCGGCUAACUCCGUGCCAGCAGCCGCGGUAAUACGGAGGGUGCGAGCGUUAAUCGGAAUUACUGGGCGUAAAGCGUACGCAGGCGGUUUGUUAAGCGAGAUGUGAAAGCCCCGGGCUCAACCUGGGAACUGCAUUUCGAACUGGCAAACUAGAGUGUGAUAGAGGGUGGUAGAAUUUCAGGUGUAGCGGUGAAAUGCGUAGAGAUCUGAAGGAAUACCGAUGGCGAAGGCAGCCACCUGGGUCAACACUGACGCUCAUGUACGAAAGCGUGGGGAG
rnacentral:rRNA from 1 species